UACAGAGGGUGCAAACGUUGUUCGGAUUUACUGGGCGUAAAGCGCGUGUAGGCGGUCCGGUAAGUCCGCUGUGAAAGCCAGGGGCUCAACCCUUGGAUGCCGGUGGAUACUGUCGGGCUCGAGUCCGGAAGAGGCGAGUGGAAUUCCUGGUGUAGCGGUGAAAUGCGCAGAUAUCAGGAGGAACACCAAUGGCGAAGGCAGCUCGCUGGGACGUGACUGACGCUGAGACGCGAAAGCGUGGGGAGCAAACAGG
rnacentral:rRNA from 1 species